rnacentral:lncRNA from 1 species
CCCAGGGGCCCUUUGGCCCCCACUGGCUGCUUCUCCAAUUUCAAUUUCCAUGUCCUCUCGGUUUUGUAACUCAAGGAGCGCCCCUGGCUUAGGAACAGCUGACAACUCCACAGCUCCCAGCAGUGGCACCUGGAGAAGGGGCGGAUGGGCACUGACUUGUGGGCGUGCUCUGGGGCACCCUGUCCCCGGCUGUCAUGAGUCAUUUGCAAGCCUGCCUGCCGACUGUCUACCUCUGAUUUCUCCAUGGGCCAAAGAACAAGCUCAUGACCAAGAACAAAGAGGACAUCUUGACCGUGUAAGUAAUGAUGACCGCUCUGUCCCCAGCUCAUGGGGACCCUGAGGA